rnacentral:rRNA from 1 species
AGCGGCGGACGGGUGAGUAACACGUGGGUAACCUGCCCAAGAGACUGGGAUAACACCUGGAAACAGAUGCUAAUACCGGAUAACAACACUAGACGCAUGUCUAGAGUUUGAAAGAUGGUUCUGCUAUCACUCUUGGAUGGACCUGCGGUGCAUUAGCUAGUUGGUAAGGUAACGGCUUACCAAGGCAAUGAUGCAUAGCCGAGUUGAGAGACUGAUCGGCCACAUUGGGACUGAGACACGGCCCAAACUCCUACGGGAGGCAGCAGUAGGGAAUCUUCCACAAUGGACGAAAGUCUGAUGGAGCAACGCCGCGUGAGUGAAGAAGGGUUUCGGCUCGUAAAGCUCUGUUGGUAGUGAAGAAAGAUAGAGGUAGUAACUGGCCUUUAUUUGACGGUAAUUACUUAGAAAGUCACGGCUAACUACGUGCCAGCAGCCGCGGUAGUACGUAGGUGGCAAGCGUUGUCCGGAUUUAUUGGGCGUAAAGCGAGUGCAGGCGGUUCAAUAAGUCUGAUGUGAAAGCCUUCGGCUCAACCGGAGAAUUGCAUCAGAAACUGUUGAACUUGAGUGCAGAAGAGGAGAGUGGAACUCCAUGUGUAGCGGUGGAAUGCGUAGAUAUAUGGAAGAACACCAGUGGCGAAAGCGGCUCUCUGGUCUGCAACUGACGCUGAGGCUCGAAAGCAUGGGUAGCGAACAGGAUUAGAUACCCUGGUAGUCCAUGCCGUAAACGAUGAGUGCUAAGUGU